rnacentral:lncRNA from 1 species
CCAGUGUCUCCUGGCUCGGGAAAAUACGUAUAUGAGAAAAAUCUUGGAUGCAACAAAAAGAACACCGUGGCCACCCGUGGUGUCCCAGGAGUUGCUCUGAGCUCCUCGCGUCAGGGCAGGUGCUCCACCUCUAACCGCCCUGUGGGGGAACGGGAGGCCCCAAGCCCCUGGGAGUCCUGGUCCCCUCCAGAGUGUGUUGGAAGGACAGCCGCUGGAAAGGCCCCUCAGAGCCCCUAAACCAGCCUCCCCUCCCCCGUGGGCAGAUUGUUCGAGGGUCCUGGAGCCUGAAUGAUGGGCCCUCGGCUUGCCCACCCCCAUCCCCAGUCAUCAAUCACCAUUUGAGAAAUGCCCACUGCCAGGGACAUGGGAGGGCAGAGGGUAGCUCCCGGGUGCGUGGCCCCUAUCUCCUCAAGCUGGUUUAGACCCUUCUGGCUCAGCCUCACCAGAUUCCUAGGAUGAGCACUGGCUUCAAAUCCCCCAAGUGCUGGUCCCUUCGUGUCCCCGAAAGAGGCUGCUCGCGUGGGCAAAGGCCCCGAGGCGUCGAGUGCGCCUUCCAGGGCAGUGCGGAAGCUCCCUGCCCUCCUCCUUCCUCCCCGCUUCUGCCUCCUCCUCCCCCAGUGUUCGCUUAAAGCAAAUUCUAGUGGGCUUUUUUUUUUUUUCUCAAUACUGUUUCAAAACAGUUGUUACAGCAAAUAACUGCAGACGGGUCUGCUGGACGCGGUGGAGAGGGGCUGGCAGCUGCCCAGCACAGGCGCCUGGCCGCUGGGCAGCUCCCGCAAUACCAAAAUAAGCUCACGAGUUCCCCUGGAAGACUUGGGCCGCCGGGAGCUCGGGCUGGUGAUCUGCUCGGAGGAAACCUCCCUACUUUCCUUUUUUACUCUUCCUGCUGUCCAGAGCUAACAAAUGUUUUUAAUUUCAGAGGAACAUGGUGUGGGGAUCUGCAGACUCGCCUUCCACUGGGGAGAGGGCCAGCGAGGGGACAGAGGGGGAGGAAAGGAGAGGGGAUAAUAGACCUGAGGUCAGUGUUGAUGCUGGAGGGCCCAGGUCUCUGAAGUUCCUGCAGCUUUGCAGAUGAGCGGGCUGCAAGUGAGGCUAGGCCUGUGGACACCCAGUGGGGCCUGGAACAGUGCCAGGAGUGGCCUUGAACCCCACCUCGAUCCCUCUCCAGCAGGAUCUGGGGUCACUUGCAUGGGCCUGGCAGACACCACUCCAGAUUUGCCCUCUGGCCUGGGGAGCAGAUAACCCCCCGCCCCACAUAACCAGCUGCGCUCCUACACCUGGCAGGCCGGCUCACACAUCACCCUUUAACGCACACUAUAUUCACACACACACUUGUGCAGUCUUGAAUGUGUGCACACACAUCUGCCUGCACACACUCAUGUGCCCACAUGUGAAUCACUUGGAAGUGUACACACACCCAAACCCACAGCGCAGAUGGGCAGACAGGUGAGCCCCGUGCAGCAUGUCACACUCCCACAUGCACAAGACAUGCGUGCAGAGGCAUAUCACACACGCAGAAGCACUCCCGAGAACCGCCUUCUCCCUUCCAGCCUAGGGGCCCCUGUUCCCCCACAACCGGGCCCAGCCCUGGAGCCCCCUCCAGCACUCCUCUCCCACCCCCACGCUCCCAAAGAGCAGCAGAUGUAGGUCUCCCGGCUCCCAAACCUCUGAGAUGCUGCUCUGUCUGAAAUCAUCAUAUAAAUAAUCAUUUUUUAAUACAAGGGGGUGGGGGUGUCAGGCAAGUUCCAUGAAAUUGUGAAUUAGCCGCUGCUCCAAAUAAAUGCCUCCUUCGGCCCGAGAGCAGCCGGCUCUCGCCCGCUGCGCCCCCAGUAAUCGUGUGUUGGGUAUCUCUCCAUUGUUCCCUGGGCCAUUAGUCAAAGGGCAAAUUAGAAACAAUUUCUUGACGACAAAAAUUGACUCUUAAUUCUUCCCACCAGAGGCGCAGGGGGACAAGUCCAGAGGCCAGGCCUGAGGCUGGGGCUGGCGGCAGGAGGGGUAGGCGGGGUAGAGGUGGGGGAUCUAAGAUGGUUCACAGCACAGAGACCUCCCUCAACUGGAGGGCAGCAGCAGCUCACCCCCACCCCAGAAUCAGUGUUCCAGAGGACAGUUGGGGGCAGGGGGUUAGGAACAAUCCCACUCCCUCCCGGAAGAGGUCCUGACCCCCACCCCACCCAUCUGCCUGUAUUGGCCCCUCUGCUAUCGACUGGGGCGAGUUCUUUUCAUGAGGGCCUUGCCUGGUGCCUGGAGGGAACAGGGUGUGGGGGAAAGGUCUGUGUGUUCCCCCCUCACCUCCCCUGCUCAGCGGUGUGGCCUCUGGCUCUGGAGAGGAUCGGGAAGCCCCAGGGUCCGUGCCUUGGAGUGGGGGGACAGCCUUUUCUCUGCCACAGCUUCUGCCUUUGGGGGCUUACCCUUCCUAGGAGCAGAACUGUUGUGGAGGGGAAGAGGACGGCGAAGGUUCCGAAGGGAAGGGGGCUGCCCCCACUGAAAACGAAGCUUCCAGUCACAGCCCCUUCAUUAUUUAUCAGGACCCAGGGGAUGAGGUGGCAGGGGAGGGGGCUGCAUGGAGGGAGUGCCCGCACCCUCGUCCCCAGCGCCUGCCCCCUCCCGACCAGGCCUGGGCUGAGGCCCAGGGUAAGGGGGCUGAGGCAGGCCACAGAGGAGCAAGACUUGUCAGGGGCCAGACCUGGGUAGGAGGAUUGUCCUCCAGGCACACACGGCCCCCAGCCUGUCGAACUGGGCUCUCCCAGAAGGUCCCCGGCUCCAGCCCAAGCAGGGAGCCAGGUUGGGGGUGUGGGAAGGCAGAGGUCCCAGGGAUCCUGGGGGAGGCUCAGGUUGUACCUGCAGGCCACAGUCUCCUCGACAGACCUCGGACGAGGUUGUAAGUGUUUUAAAGAAACCAGAGCAGCAGAGAAGAGAGACUCAGAAGCCCGUGGCACGGCUUUCUGGGUGUCCCCUCCAGCGAGGGGGUCUCCAUUGCUGCAGUUGCCGGUUUUGUCCAACCAGGUCAGGAGGCUGCCCGGCCCCCUCCCCACUCUCAAAGUUGCUUGUUAAACACAGAGUCGUAAUUUGUGGCUAAAUAUAACUAGUGUGUUCUCACGGAGAGUAUAAUUCAGGGUGCUCGUUGUAUGAGGUUAUCAACGAGACCCAUCUGGGUUACAUUACAGUGAUUUUCAUAAAGGGCAGAAGCGCCCCUUUGCCUGGUUUCCCCUGCCUUUUUAUUAGUGACAGUGUUAUUGUUGCAAUUAUUAGAGGGGAUCAAGGAAGGUGGGAGUUGCCAGGGACCCCCAGGCUGAGGAGGGAGCCUCCCAGCCCCCCUCCACUCACCAUUGUCCUGCUGCCCCUCCAGCCUCCUGGUCACUGUCACCUCUGCGGCUGGAGGGCUGGAGAAAGGCCCAGGAGCCCAGGGAACCUCCACCAUGCCAGGCUGCCUUCCCUAAAGGCCGGCUCCUUCCCCACAGGCAGCCAGUCUGGGGGUGGACCUGGAGGGGCAGGGUUCUCUGGGAAUCUCUGGCCAAGGGAUGCGCUUUGGGGAUCCGCUGGAAUAAAGAGUAAUCAGUUUUCCUCGCAGGAGGUUGACCCCAAACAGCCCUCCGUCUUCCUGCCCAUGAGGAUGAGGACAGGAAGCCAGACCCAGGAGAGAAAGCCCAGAUCAGACAGAUGGGGGUUGGGAGGGCCUAGUGGCUGAAACUGCCCUGCUUGGGGACAAUGCUCAGGCAGGACCAAUCCAAAUGAGGGCACUGCUUAUGUGGUCCUUCCGGGAGCACCCUCCAAGGCAGAGCCUGGCUUCGGGCCCUCCCUGCAAGGACACCUGCCUCCACUCCCUGCCAGACCAGGCCUGGCUGCAGAGGCGGAGGGGCGGCAGGGCUGCCUGUCUCCACUGUUUGGCGGUGUUUACACGUGUCGCUGUCAGGGUGUCUGGACAGCAGGGGUCAGGGGGCCUCCCGGCCCAGAGUUCCUCAGGCCUAUUCUCACACUGGUGUGAGGGCCCUAGGGGAAGGGUGUGGGCUGGGUGGCAGGGCCAGGCCAGCUGAGACCUACAGGACCGUGGAGCAUUUAGGUCUCCCACCCAACUCCAACCAGUCCUCUGAGCAUCAGUUACAGAGCCCAGGCAGCAGGAGGGCAGAGCCCAGCCCCUUAUCACCCAUCCUCAAGGCAGGCAGGAACCCUGAAGGCAGCUUCCACCAGGGGUUCCCUUAGCCCCCACCCUCCAAAAGCCCCAGACCCUGCCAGGCCUCACCCUGCCAGCAUCGUGGCCCCAGCUGAGGGCUCCCAAGGGCAGGUGCUGGCAACACAAGCAGGAGGCCUCGGGGCAUCCCGCAGGGCACACACCAGGUCGCCCUGGGCUCCCCAAGCACCUCCCAGACCCAGCCCUCGGGUGGGUCCUGGCCCACAAACCCCCACGCCCUGCCCCUGAGAUGAGCCCCACCGCCCACCUGCCCUCCAGCCCUGGAGACCUUUCUCCCCCUUGGCCAUGGCUCCCAUGGGGAGGCUGCAGGCCCUCCCUGGGCUGGACCAGAGGGGACAGACUGUCUCUCCCCUGCGACUUCUGGGGGCACUGGAGUCCUUGGCCUGGUUACCUUCAGCAUUUAUAGCCCUCCAGUGAGUUAUUCCUCGGAGUUCUCACAGAGCAGCAUGCGCCUGCGGCAAAGCCCUCACCUCCAGCCCCUGGACCACCUGACUGCUGCCUCCCGCCUGGCGCCAAACACGGCCACC